AUUAAAUCACCAAUUCCCAUAUGAUCACUGAAGUUAAGCAACAUUGGUCCUGGUCAGUACCUAGAUGGAUGACUGCUUGGGAAUAACUGAUGCUGUAU